rnacentral:rRNA from 1 species
UUUAAUGAGAGUUUGAUCCUGGCUCAGGACGAACGCUGGCGGCGUGCCUAAUACAUGCAAGUAGAACGCUGAAGGAGGAGCUUGCUUCUCUGGAUGAGUUGCGAACGGGUGAGUAACGCGUAGGUAACCUGCCUGGUAGCGGGGGAUAACUAUUGGAAACGAUAGCUAAUACCGCAUAAGAGUAGAUGUUGCAUGACAUUUGCUUAAAAGGUGCACUUGCAUCACUACCAGAUGGACCUGCGUUGUAUUAGCUAGUUGGUGGGGUAACGGCUCACCAAGGCGACGAUACAUAGCCGACCUGAGAGGGUGAUCGGCCACACUGGGACUGAGACACGGCCCAGACUC